UUGCAUACGGGCUAUUCAUUAGUGUCCUGCAGAGUGUGACCACUCACCCAUGGGAGGGGAAGGUCAUCUCCCAGCCUCCGACUAAUCAUGGCUGCGAGAGGCACCCCCACCAUCUACAGCUGACAGGUGGAUCAACGUGCUCUUUGUCAAAUCACCUGGAGGAUCCACAGAGAGAUGGAAACAGCUGCUGCACUGGGGAACCAGGAGGCACCUGUGGAAUUCAGUCGUCUCUUUCACUGCCAGACUGUGGAUCAUCCAAACACCUGGAUGAAGUCUGGACACUCAGUUCUCUCUCUCUAUGUCUUUGAUUUUCAGUCGGUCAUGUGUUAAUAAGGAAAAAAAAA